rnacentral:other from 1 species
AAAACCCUGCUGUGUUCGUGCAACGCCGAGAUUGUUUUGAGCCAACACCAAAACAAUAGGGGCUUAUCUCUGUAAACGGCUGGUAGGCCUCCUUGAGAGGACAUCAAAAGCUUGCAGGAGAGCACCGACCUGCUGAGAGCAGGUUCAAAAACAUCGGCCCCACGGCACCGGUGGGGUUUUA